UGCGCAGGCGGACUAAUAAGUCAGAGGUGAAAUCCCACAGCUUAACUGUGGAACUGCCUUUGAUACUGUUAGUCUUGAGUGCAGUUGAGGUAGGCGGAAUGUGUUAUGUAGCGGUGAAAUGCUUAGAUCUGACACAGAACACCAAUCGUGAAGACAGCUUACCAAGCUGCUACUGACGCUCAUGCACGAAAGCGUGGGGAGCGAACAGGAUUAGAUACCCUGGUAGUCC
rnacentral:rRNA from 1 species